GCGGGCGCUCCAGGCCCGGGGGCUGCGGCGGGCGGGGGCGCGUGGCACGGGCGGGGGCUCGCCAGGCCGGAGGGGCGCUCCCGAGGACCCCGCGUCGCCGGCGAGCUUCCCUGCCCGGGGAGGGGUGGGGGGCCGAGCGUGCGCCUCCGCGCGACCCUCCGAGGCCGGGGACGCAGCUGCGCCCGCGGAGGAGCGAGUGGAGGGAGGGAGGAGAGGAGGGAGGGGAGGAGGGAGGGGAGGAGGGAAGCAGGCGAGCGCGCUGUCCGUCCAGGUCCAGGCCCAGGCCCGUGGCGUCGGGGACACCGCGCCGGCCUCGCCCCGUGUGCCUUGUGGGGUCCCGGCCGCAGGCCGCGGCGCAGGUGGGUAUGAAGGGCUCUGAGAGGCCCGCGCUGGAAACCAGGUCGUGUCUGCCCCCCCCCACGCUCGCGAAGCUCUCCCCACCCCACCCCCCGCCCGGUUCAGGCCCCGGGCGCUCCCUUCCCCCACCGCGCUGCCCGCUGAGUCACCUUGCACCGCCCCCCCCCCCCCGCAGGUACGGCCCGACAGGUGAGGUGGGUGGGGCCACGAGGGCGCACGGUGCCCCUCCCGCAGGGCUGGUCCUGGGAUGCCCGGGGCCCAGACGCCCCCCACCGCGGCCCCGCGGAGCUGGCAGGUGCGGCGUGACGUCGCGCCAUCCCCCGCCAGGUCUGUGCCUGGGCUGCUGCGGAGGGCGCGGGCCUGGCCGGGAGGGCUCCCCGACGGCGCCACCGCCGGCCCCACCCCCUCACGGGCCACACUGCGCGCCCACGGCAGGCCAGGUCCACACGGCAGGCCAGGUCCACACGGGCAGUCUCCGGUGGAAACGGGAGAGGAGGUGGCUGGAGGCCGGGCAGGGCGGGGUGACCCCCGAGGGCAGCCUAGGGCUGGGGUGGCCCCUCCCCUUGAGCUGGGACCCGCCGUGGAGGGGGGCCCAGACGACAGCGGGUUUGGCGGGAGAGCGGGGUGCGGGCCCACACCAAAUGGCCGGGGGCCUCAGGACCCCUCCUGUUCCCAGAACCAGAGCACCAGAGCACUGGGGCCGUCUGAAGCCCGGGUGAGCCGAGGGCACCGGGUACACCUGCGGGGAGGGGUGUCCCUGGGAGCGGGAGGAAUGUCAGCGGCGGGGAUGGGACUAGCCCAGGCACAUCCCGCAGGUGAGGACAGCCGAGGACGCGGCGGGGAUGGGACUAGCCUGGGCACAUCCCACGGGUGGCCGGAGGCACCUCCACCUCCACCUCGCAGCCCUCCCGGAUCGCCCUGCGCGCAGAGCCCGGGCCAACCUCUGAUUGGACCAAGGAGCCAAGCCUUGGGGGGAGCACUCAGCGGGUGGGAGGACAAGGAUGGAGAGGGGGGCAGUGGGGAGGGAGGCGAGCUGAGGGGUGCUGGGUUCCUCGGGAAGGAGCACCCCCACCCCAGACCAGCCCAGGGGCUCGGCCUGGUCCGGGCUUCCCCUCCGAGCCCCAGCUCUGUCUUCCCAGGAGCUGUGCCACCUGGCAAGUUGCUUGACCCCCCUGUGCCUGCACUGCCCCCCCAGUGCCCAGGGCACCGUAGUUACAACAGCUUCUCCCAUAAGCGACCGUGA
rnacentral:lncRNA from 1 species